UUUUCCUUGGUGAGUACUCUGGAAUUGCUGUAUGUUUACCGGAGGGCUUUUCCGGAAUACUCUAAAACUUGCUGUACACUAAACUGCAUGUUUUAAGAAAUACCGAUCACUAUGAGGAAGACCUAACCUCUGGAUUUAACCGGAGGGGAACUAACUCCAUGACUUAAUGUUGUUAUAUUAGGGAUUUAGAACACAGUAGGAAACGUUUUGUAUGGUUGUCACGUAACGAGAGAAGGUAAACCCCUGUAAAAGUGUGGACCCUUUUUCUGAAAUAAAAUCAUCCCACCUUCUUGGACUGGGAUAAAAGGAUUGAGCGCUGUCCUCUCCAGAUUUAAGUCUUCAGUAGUUCCACAUUCUGAUCGUCAAACUUGUGUCAGAGUAUCUCACCGUUUCCCAGAGUCCGGACGUCCACAUCCUCUCUGCCAGACGAGGAGAAGUUAAAUCCUUUGAGAGAAUAGAUGAAGAUCAUUAUCAGGACACAUUAAACUCUGACUGCAGACACACCGAGCCGCAGACUCACCGUCGGAUCUGAAGGAGGUGAGGACGGGCGCAGCGAUCAGCUCCUCCACCGAAGACUCCAUCCUCCGCUCGCCGUCGAUCACCCAGGGAGUCUGAGGCAGAGUGCGGCAGAACUUGUUGUACCUCCCUGAACAACGGGAACGACAUCAGGAUGGAAAACAGACCCAGUUUUGUUAUAUAUAUCUAUCUAUUCAUAUUUACGCACCUUACUCCUCUCUGCUGUUUGUACAUGCUGUUCAUUUUUUGUUUUAUCAUGCACUAUAUUCAGGACAGGAUUUUUUAUGUUUGUUUGUUUGUUUGUAUAGUCUAUUUAUAUGUAGGCGAUAUCUGCGUGUAACACUUAGAGCUGAACAUCUGAACGUCUUCAAUGAUCCGGAUUAAAUAUCUUUACUUUAAUGACCCAACGUUUAGUUACUGAAAGGACAGACUUUAAUUGAGAGCCAUGAGAGUUUUGACUGAAAGAAAUCACAGUCGAUAGUCUGUGCCAGCAGCGUAUUAUGACCAACAACUGUCUAUAUUUGAUCGUGUUUGUGAAGUAAAGAUAAACUGUGAAACUCAAAGUGAACAAAAUCAGUUUUUGUACCAGGAAUUAAACAUGGUUAUUUUUGCUGAAGUUAGCCAUUUUCAAAUGGGACUCACUUAAGGACUGCGUAUAAAUUACCCACUUUUUAAUGGAAUUUAGUAAAAAAAUUAAGGGAUUUUUUGUUUC